rnacentral:tRNA from 4 species
GCGCGUGUAGCUCAGUUGGUACGAGCACGUCGCUGAUAACGACGGGGUCCCUGGUUCAAAUCCAGGCACGCGCACCU